rnacentral:rRNA from 1 species
UACGUAGGGUGCGAGCGUUAAUCGGAAUUACUGGGCGUAAAGCGUGCGCAGGCGGUUGUGUAAGACAGGUGUGAAAUCCCCGGGCUUAACCUGGGAAUUGCAUUUGUGACUGCACGGCUAGAGUUUGGCAGAGGGGGGUAGAAUUCCACGUGUAGCAGUGAAAUGCGUAGAUAUGUGGAGGAAUACCGAUGGCGAAGGCAGCCCCCUGGGUCAAGACUGACGCUCAUGCACGAAAGCGUGGGGAGCAAACAGG